GUUAUUUUGUAGAUCUAAGUUUGUCGCUUUUUGCGAGGGACACUAUGCACUAGCAAAGUCGUCGCAAUUUGCGACCACAUUGAUAUAUCCCUAUUUUUAUUGAUUUUAUCUAUGAUUUAGGGUUAUGAUUUUGAGUCUUUAUGUUAUUUCUCGAGUCUUUUUAGUGUCUUUUUAGUGUCUUUUCAAGUAUUCUAUGCAAUGGGACAACAAUGGAGAUAAGGAGACAUUUUGGAGCAAAAGCUAAGGAAAAAGAAGCUAAGGACGAUUUCAGUUCCAGAUUCAGCAAGAGUGUCGAUCGACACAAUGCUGGU
rnacentral:sRNA from 1 species